ACCAUGUAUCCCAAUCCUCCACCUCAUUUAACUUUCUUAUUCCAUAAUUUCUUCUUUCUUUCUUUAUAUCCCAGGGUUCUCUCUCCCAUCUCUUAAAAGCCUUGUUUUCCCAUUGCUCCAUAUUCAUUUCCUGACCUAUGUGAGUAUUGCAAAUAAAACACACUUAUCUAAUGAUUCAAAGCUAACAUUUUGAGUCUGUAUUAUAUCACCCAAAAUGAUGGAUUCUAGCUUCAUCCAUAAACCUGCAACUUUCAUAAUUUCAUUUUUCCUAACAGCUGUUUGAUAUUUUCUUGUGCAAAUGUCCCAAUAUUGUUAUCAUCCAUUCACUCAUUUAGGCUAUUUUCAUUUUCUGGUUCUAUCCAUUUUUCUAAAAAUAGCAUAAUUUCAUUUUUCAUGCUGAAGACAAAUCCACCGUGGAUAUAUGCCACAUUUUCUAUGUAAAAUAUUGUAUUUGGAAGUAAUAAGUAUAUAAUUACAUCAUCUUCCCUGGUCUCCAUUCCCUCUCUCUGCUCCUUCUUUUCACCCUCAUCAUGCUCCAUCCCCAAUGGAGAUGACUUUGUGCAGAGGAAGAGUUAAGGACUGAGUUUCCUUCUCCAGCACGUGGACAUCCAGCUUUCCCAGUACUGGCUGAAGUGUUGAAAAAGACACAUUUUAUCUUUUGUAUGUGUUUAGAAUUUGGGAAAAAUCAGUUGGCUGGAGCUGUGUGGUUUUAUUUCUGAGUACUGUGUUCUAUUCCAUCAGCCUAUGUGUCUGUUUUGUGAAAAUAUUAUGCUAUUUUAAGCUAUCAUCUCUGCAGUAUACUGUGAAAUAGGAUAUUGUGAUGCCUCCAGCAUUUUUUGCUUCUUUGUGCAAGAUUCCUUUGAUUAUUUGGAAUCUUUUGUGUUUUUACAUGAAUUUAAGGAUUAAGUUUUCAAGUCCUGUGAGGAAUUUCAUUAGAAUUUGAAUGGAUAUUUCAUUAUUCAAGAUCUUAAUUCUUUUGGGUAAUAUAAUCACCAUCACCAUAUUAAUUGCCAAUCCUUGAAAGUGGAGAUCUUUCAAAAGUUUUCUUUAGAUUUCUCCUUUAUUGUCCUGUAGUUUUCACUAUGAAGUCAUUAUUUUGUUAAUUUUUAAAUGAUAUUGUGAAUGGGAUUGUUGUUCUGAUUGCUUUCUUAGCAAAUUUAAUGUAUGUUGUUUUAAUUCUGCUUCUUCACUGAUAGUAUUUCUUUGAGUCUUUUGGUCAGGAAUGGUGAGUUUUCUAGGCAUAAGACCAGAUAAUCAAUAACCAGAGAUAAUUGGUACCACUUGUAUCUGGUUUAUUUCUUUUUCUUCCAAUAUAGUACUUCUAAUUUUAACUCAGUAGAUUUCUAAUCAUUAUUAAGUAACCUCAUAGAUUAAUAUUGAUAAUUCUUAGAAUUAAUAAAAUAUUAACUUAUUUCCCUGUAAUAAAAAAAUCUCUUUAUCAACCACACAUGAUAUAAAUUGAUUAAUUCUUAAAUUUGGCCAUGUUUUCUUAAGGAUUUCCAUUGAGCUGCCUAUCUGCAUAAUGACAAAGGAACCACCCUAAAAACAACAGAGAGAAACUUAGGAAUACAACUGAAACAAACUUACCAAAAGCCUGUAGACCUUUACUUUCCUAUUGUAGACUGUGAUGUGUUAAGUUUUCUCUCAGAAUAUCAAGGUGAGAUAUAUAUAUAUAUACUAGGGAUUUGGUUUUUUGUUUGGUUUUUUGUAUUUGUUUGUUUUGUUUUGUUUUGUUUUGUUUCUAAGAUUACAUUGUAAAAACAAAGGAAACUAUUAGAAGAACUAUUAGAAGACAUUAGACUUUGGAUCCAGAGGUCUGCCUUGUUUGUACUUUUAAAAACUCAUUUUUUUUUUUUUGAGACAGGGUUUCUCUGUAUAGCCAUGGCUGUCCUGGAACUCACCUUUUAUACCAGGCUGGCCUCAAACUCAGAAAUCCGCCUGCUUCUGCCUCCCGAGUGCUGGGAUUAAAGGUGUGUGCCACCACGCCUGGCUCACUUUUAAAUUUUAAAAACUCAUUUUUUUCCUGUCUUAAGAAUGGGGACAUUUUCCACUGUGCUUUAUUAAUUUUAUCUAGAGUGGCAAACGAGAUAAUUGGUGUGAGAUUAGUCUCAGAAUGUAAAGAGUCUACUAAAUGUCAGCCAGUAUAAUUUUUAUUACAAUAAUUUUCCACAAUGCAUCCCUUCUGAUUUCUCUCCUGAGAGUCUGGCUAGGUUUUGAUGAGCUCAGUAUUCAAUCACUGUUAUCAAUAAAUUAAGUCAUGAUAAAAUG
rnacentral:lncRNA from 1 species